CGUCCGGAAACGGGCGCUAAUACCGCAUACGUCCUGAGGGAGAAAGUGGGGGAUCUUCGGACCUCACGCUAUCAGAUGAGCCUAGGUCGGAUUAGCUAGUUGGUGGGGUAAAGGCCUACCAAGGCGACGAUCCGUAACUGGUCUGAGAGGAUGAUCAGUCACACUGGAACUGAGACACGGUCCAGACUCCUACGGGAGGCAGCAGUGGGGAAUAUUGGACAAUGGGCGAAAGCCUGAUCCAGCCAUGCCGCGUGUGUGAAGAAGGUCUUCGGAUUGUAAAGCACUUUAAGUUGGGAGGAAGGGCAGUAAGUUAAUACCUUGCUGUUUUGACGUUACCAACAGAAUAAGCACCGGCUAACUUCGUGCCAGCAGCCGCGGUAAUACGAAGGGUGCAAGCGUUAAUCGGAAUUACUGGGCGUAAAGCGCGCGUAGGUGGUUCAGCAAGUUGGAUGUGAAAUCCCCGGGCUCAACCUGGGAACUGCAUCCAAAACUACUGAGCUAGAGUACGGUAGAGGGUGGUGGAAUUUCCUGUGUA
rnacentral:rRNA from 1 species